GUCUCAGCUCAGUCGGUUAGAGCAUCGUGCUGAUAACGCCAAGGUUGCAGGUUCGAUCCCCGUAUGGUACA